rnacentral:rRNA from 1 species
GAUGAACGCUGGCGGCGUGCCUAAUACAUGCAAGUCGAGCGAACGGACGAGAAGCUUGCUUCUCUGAUGUUAGCGGCGGACGGGUGAGUAACACGUGGAUAACCUACCUAUAAGACUGGGGUAACUUCGGGAAACCGUAGCUAAUACCGGAUAAUAUUUUGAACCGCAUGGUUCAAAAGUGAAAGACGGUCUUGCUGUCACUUAUAGAUGGAUCCGCGCUGCAUUAGCUAGUUGGUAAGGUAACGGCUUACCAAGGCAACGAUGCAUAGCCGACCUGAGAGGGUGAUCGGCCACACUGGAACUGAGACACGGUCCAGACUCCUACGGGAGGCAGCAGUAGGGAAUCUUCCGCAAUGGGCGAAAGCCUGACGGAGCAACGCCGCGUGAGUGAUGAAGGUCUUCGGAUCGUAAAACUCUGUUAGUAGGGAAGAACAUAUGUGUAAGUAACUGUGCACAUCUUGACGGUACCUAAUCAGAAAGCCACGGCUAACUACGUG